rnacentral:rRNA from 1 species
AGCGUGACGGCGCGAGCAGGUGCGAAAGCAGGUCAUAGUGAUCCGGUGGUUCUGAAUGGAAGGGCCAUCGCUCAACGGAUAAAAGGUACUCCGGGGAUAACAGGCUGAUACCGCCCAAGAGUUCAUAUCGACGGCGGUGUUUGGCACCUCGAUGUCGGCUCAUCACAUCCUGGGGCUGAAGUAGGUCCCAAGGGUAUGGCUGUUCGCCAUUUAAAGUGGUACGCGAGCUGGGUUUAGAACGUCGUGAGACAGUUCGGUCCCUAUCUGCCGUGGGCGCUGGAGAACUGAGGGGGGCUGCUCCUAGUACGAGAGGACCGGAGUGGACGCAUCACUGGUGUUCGGGUUGUCAUGCCAAUGGCACUGCCCGGUAGCUAAAUGCGGAAGAGAUAAGUGCUGAAAGCAUCUAAGCACGAAACUUGCCCCGAGAUGAGUUCUCCCUGACUCCCUGAGAGUCCUGAAGGAACGUUGAAGACGACGACGUUGAUAGGCCGGGUGUGUAAGCGCAGCGAUGCGUUGAGCUAACCGGUACUAAUGAACCGUGAGGCUUAACCUUACAACGCCGAAGGUGUUU